rnacentral:lncRNA from 1 species
AGCACACACAUUCACUAUUUUCAUUUCUUUUCUUUUUCUUUUUUUUUUCUUUUCUUUUACAUCCACAAUGCAAAUACAAAUACAAAAUACAAAUACAAAUUCAAAUUCAAAAUAAAUAAAUAAAAAUACACCAACACACACAUCCCCUUUUUUUUAUUAUUAUUUUCUUUUCUUUUCUUUUCUUUUUCUUUUACAUUCACAUAUUACAAAUUUAAAAUAAAUAAACAAAAAUUACAUUAAAACUUUAAAAUUUACAAAAUGGUCCCUCAAAACUCCCGAAAUUGCAGGGAAGGACUUCUGCACCCGCAUGAACAGUUCCGGCGCGUCUCCCCACGCGCCACCGUCACUGGCGGCGCGUGGGUUCACGCGCCGCCGCGAACAAAGACAGGAAACGGGUAGAUCUGGUUCCGCUUCCUUUCCCU